UACGUAGGGGGCAAGCGUUGUCCGGAAUUACUGGGCGUAAAGCGCACGUAGGCGGCUUUCUAAGUCGGGGGUGAAAUCCUGGAGCUCAACUCCAGAACUGCCUUCGAUACUGGAGAGCUUGAGUCCGGGAGAGGUGAGUGGAACUGCGAGUGUAGAGGUGAAAUUCGUAGAUAUUCGCAAGAACACCAGUGGCGAAGGCGGCUCACUGGCCCGGUACUGACGCUGAGGUGCGAAAGCGUGGGGAGCAAACAGG
rnacentral:rRNA from 1 species